UUCAAACUCUUUCAAGUGGGAGGGAGAGUGAAGAAUGGAGGGAAACCAACACCGAAGACCUGCUUGUGUUCUGCAAGAGACCCAGUUGAACAGCAGCUCAGGUUACCUCAUCACAGAGCCUCAGUUUUCUGCUUUUUUAUCUCCAUGGUGUCCUGAUGACUUCUUAAAAUAAUGAGACCUGACUAACUUGCACAAAGUCGCACAAAAAACUGUUGGCAGCACAGAAGAUUGAGUUGAGGAUUUGUUGGCAUGGCAGGCCAAAAAAACAUUUGGGCAAGAUUCGAGCAGAUGUCAGCCCAGCAGCUGAUAAGGUACAGCAUUUUUCAUUGGGUGUCCACACUGAUGACACCAUUGCAAAGCCUGAUGUAGGACAGA